GAUGAACGCUAGCGGCAGGCCUAAUACAUGCAAGUCGAACGGUGUCUUCGGACAUAGUGGCGCACGGGUGCGUAACACGUAUGCAACCUACCUUACAUUGGGGGAUAGCCUUUCGAAAGGGAGAUUAAUACCGCAUAAGACAGUAGCUGGGCAUCCAGCAGCUGUUAAAGAUUUAUCGAUGUAAGCUGGGCAUGCGUCCAAUUAGCUAGUUGGUGAGGUAACGGCUCACCAAGGCAAUGAUUGGUAGGGGAACUGAGAGGUCAAUCCCCCACACUGGCACUGAGAUACGGGCCAGACUCCUACGGGAGGCAGCAGUAGGGAAUAUUGGGCAAUGGACGCAAGUCUGACCCAGCCAUGCCGCGUGCAGGAUGAAGGCGUUAUGCGUUGUAAACUGCUUUUAUACAGGAAGAAACGACUCUUGCGAGAGGCAUUGACGGUACUGUAUGAAUAAGCACCGGCUAACUCCGUGCCAGCAGCCGCAGUAAUAC
rnacentral:rRNA from 1 species